rnacentral:rRNA from 1 species
UAAUACGGAGGGUGCAAGCGUUAUCCGGAUUUAUUGGGUUUAAAGGGUCCGUAGGCGGAUCUGUAAGUCAGUGGUGAAAUCUCACAGCUUAACUGUGAAACUGCCAUUGAUACUGCAAGUCUUGAGUGUUGUUGAAGUAGCUGGAAUAAGUAGUGUAGCGGUGAAAUGCAUAGAUAUUACUUAGAACACCAAUUGCGAAGGCAGGUUACUAAGCAACAACUGACGCUGAUGGACGAAAGCGUGGGGAGCGAACAGGAUUAGAUACCCUGGUAGUCCACGCCGUAAACGAUGCUAACUCGUUUUUGGAUUUUCGGAUUCAGAGACUAAGCGAAAGUGAUAAGUUAGCCACCUGGGGAGUACGUUCGCAAGAAUGAAACUCAAAUGAAUUGACGG